rnacentral:rRNA from 1 species
AUUGAACGCUGGCGGCAGGCCUAACACAUGCAAGUCGAGCGAGCGGCGGACGGGUGCGUACUGUCUGGGAAACUGCCUGGUGGAGGGGGAUAACUACUGGAAACGGUAUCUAAUACCGCAUACCAUCAGAUGUGCCCAGAUGGGAUUAGCUAGUAGGUGGGGUAACGGCUCACCUAGGCGACGAUCCCUAGCUGGUCUGAGAGGAUGACCAGCCACACUGGAACUGAGACACGGCCCAGACUCCUACGGGAGGCAGCAGUGGGGAAUAUUGCACAAUGGGCGAAAGCCUGAUGCAGCCAUGCCGCGUGUAUGAAGAAGGUCUUCGGGUUGUAAAGUACUUUCAUCGGGGAGGCGUUAUCCGAAGAAGAAGCACCGGCUAACUCCGUGCCAGCAGCCGCGGUAAUAC